rnacentral:lncRNA from 1 species
UGUGUUUUUUCGACUUUUUUCAAUUCCAUCGGUAUUAAUUGUGCAAAUUUUGCUUUAAAUAGUUAUUCAAAGCCAUAAUGAAUCCAUUAAUGUAUGUUACUCCUGGAUAAUAUUCAUACAUGGACUCAAUUUCAGGCUUAUUACCGGCUUACUUAGCUGAUUCAAUGUGUGUGGACCCAGCCGACGAACGGAGCCGAGCCGGGAGUGGGGGGAGUGGGGAGCGCCGAGCGCGAGUCUCUGCGUAUGCGUCAUCGCUAGUCGCCGCACACUAGUCUCCGGAGACUGGACAAAACAGCCUUCAAAGUGACUUCAUCGGCGAUCCAGUACUUUGCGACUCUAUUGUACUCUAUGGCAAAAACAGAAGAAAAACAUCGUGCAUGUGGUGGUGAAGGUGGCGCCAUCCCUUUCUCGGCAAAUUUCGUUUCAACUGAAUUCAGAUCGAGGCUAGUUUAGAAUGAAACUGAUUUAUCAUCCCUGGAUUUCACUUACUUCCUCCUUACUCAUGCAGACUGUAAGAAAGAUAAAAUAUUUGAAGAUCUGAUGAUAAUCAGAGAUCCAUUGUGUGCAGGAGUCAAUCCUUCAAGCUCUUUCUCAUAUUCCCAGAAUAUUUAACUCAGUGAAGAUUUCAGAGUACUUACUAAAUCAUCAGAAUGAAUGAAGAACCCAUGAAUGCCCUAAUGCCAAUUUCACCAACUUCGCAGGAUACAAGUUUUUCCAACCUGUUAGAAGACGUGGACCUAGUCAAGACACACCUAGAUUUACUUGGAUACACCCAAUUCAAUUCAAUUACACCCAAUUCAAUCGCCAAUUUAUUGUUAGAUUUUGACAAUAAUGCCGAUAGGGUAACACUAGUUAUAAACCGAAUAAUAGAUGAGCCACCUGAUGUGGAAAUAACAUUUGAAAAGAACUCACCUGAUAAAACAUCAAAAUCCAAUACUCAAAAAACUGCCCAUAGUGUCACAGGAGAGACUUCGGGAUCGAAAGAUACCAAAGGGAUCAUUAACCUAAUUAACUUAUUCGAUCAAGAUCAACCAUCACCAAGUAAAAUUUCCAAGUCUGCAAAUCCUGAAGAGAACCCUUUUUCAUUUGAUCAAGGUAUAAAUAACUUGUUUAAGUCUGAGAACUCGCCAGAAGUGCCGCUUGCUUCCACUUCAUGCGAUUCAGCCGAUCCUGUCAUUAACAUCUCUGACAUAGAAGAGUUUUUGAAUAGUAAAGAGCCGUUACCAACACCCAAAAUAAUUGAUGAUCAUUUGAGCUCUUUAAAUUAUGGCGUGGAGAAUUUGAAAAAGCGAUUAGAUAAAUUGAAAAAUAAUGUAGAUGAAAAUGAAUUUAAGGAGAAGAAAUUAACUGAAAAAGUACUUAAAACUGCAACUGAUUUGGCAAAUGAAGAUUUGAAAACAGGCAUAAUUUCACCACUACAUCAGAACAUUUCUGAGGAACCAGAACAAAUUAGCUUACCCUGUUCCAGUGCUCUGUGCGCUCCCCAAAGCUCGCUUCCAUCAGCAUCAUCAAGUGACUCCGUUACUAAAUUAGUUGGUCUCGGCGAUAAUUUUUUAAAAUUGGAACCUUCACUCGAGGUGAUUGCUUUUCAAACAUUUGAAAAAGCAAUCUAGCACCGAAACAUCGGGGUCAAGCUCAUUAAGCCGCAAUGACAAAUCAACGGAGUCAGCUGAGUUUGAUACAUUUUUAGAUUCAUUUUUAGUAAAGAAGGCAACAUCAUCUCAAAGAACAAAUCCUUCAACUUCACAAGCAUCAACAUCUAUUUCAAAUCCAUGGCAGGGGAAUUUUCAGCCCACUUCGGAGGAACUGGCUGUUAUUGAUGAAGUUGUUGCUGUUGCUUGUUCGCCAGAAAAGCUCAUCAUCACAGAUGAAGAAUUAGAAGAAUUAGAAAAACAAAUUGAACCAACAAAAAACGUCAAAAAACCUGUACCAGCCACCACCUCUACUAAAAUAGAAGUGAUACCUUGUGAACCGUCAACAAGCGGCCCCUCCUUCAGCGUAAUUGAAAUGAUACAAAAUAAACCAUCAACAAGCGGCUCCUGUGGAUCAUCUCGUCAAACUAAUCAAACAAGUAGUAAAACUCACUCAUCAUCCCCUAAAAAGGCCACUGAGCCUAUGCCCAUGUAUUUGGCAAAUCUGAUGGAAAUAUUUCCAGAGGCUGAUACUAAUUACCUCCGUGAUCUGUGCAAAAGCGCAAAUGACAAGAAGAAAUUUCCCAAUAAAGAUGAGAUCCUUCAAACUCUCAUCGAAACUGUAAUAAGAGAUGAAUCUCAUCCUAAAAGAACCUUGCCCCCAUUCGAGGACAAACCUGCAAAAGAUUUGUCUGUCAAUGAGAAGUAUCAGAAUAUAAUUGCAAUCAUUCCUAAUGUUGACCCGGAAUUUUUAGAAAACAAAUGCAAAGAACUUACUAAUGAUGAAAUUUACAGUGCAUUUGUCGAUGAAUUAUUAACCAAAAAAAUUACCCAACCAUUCAGGAUUAUGAAAGAAGGAAAGAGACUGAAAAAGCAAUACAAGCCUAUACAGAUAAUUUUUCUAUUGCUGGCUUCUUAGAGGUUUUCCCUGAUCCCGAAGAUUAUUUUCUGAAUAAGAAGGCCAGUUCUCAUCAUGAACUGUCUCUAACGUUUCUCAAAGAUAGGUUAGUGAAAUGUUUACUUUGUCCUUUACAGUCACAAAAUGUCAAUCUCUUCAGUUCUGUUAGAAUACUCUAUAAAAUCCGGAAAUUUCCCUGAACUGUUGAACUUCAGGGUUUGGUUCAAACCUAAGAAAUUUUCCCUCGUAGAAUCAAAUAUGCAAAUUACACAUUUUUUCAUUUCGCAAGAAUUUGAAGUGAAAAUUUCUCAUGUAAAACAUCAUUACACCUCUUGUCAUUAACAAGUCGAAGAAAUUUAAUGUUCAAAAUUGAGAAUUUGGGGAAUUAUAAAGCAGGCAUCUUUAAAAUGUAGGAUUGCAGGAUUCUGCAUUCUGGAUCUUGAUAAGAAAGGCUCAGAUAGUCAGGACAGCCACUCAGUCAAUGCGCACUAUUUGUCUUUUUGCAAAAUUCAAGUUUGCUGAAAAACUGUUUCAUUCACAUUCAGUGGACACUUUCUCCCUUCUUGUAUCAUUCUUUACAAAUGAGGGGAACCUAAGAGAGUAAUUCGCAAGAUCCCAGUGAUUUAGGAAGAAAGCAAUUUUUUGUGCCCAAGUCAUUAAAUCAAAGGAAACUUUUUAAUCUCUUAACCUUGAAUUAUUUUAAAUUCUUGUCCAAGCUUCUGAUGAAUGAAGGAAGUAAAUGAAAAGACACCGCACACAAUACCAAGACAUUCAGCCUUGGCUAAAUUUCGAUAUUUGAAGGUAUGACGUUCUUUAUGACCUCCUGAGCACAGUGAGCCUUUAGAAUCUAACUUUCUAUGUGCCAAUCUUGAGAAAAUUGGGUCUGUAAAAUGCACUUUUCGGCAAUUUGACUUGUGUCAGCAUAAGGAGCAGUGGAACCGUCACUGAGUUGUAGAUACGGAGUCUUUUGUUCUGAACUGAGUUGUCACGUCAGGUUAUCUUCCCGGCCAGCAAGAGACUAGGAAGAAGGAAGCUUGCUCUCGAUCAACCACAUGUUUUCGCUCUAUAAUGUGUGUAUAACUGCUGAAAACUACUAUUUUCAGUACUGAUUCUGUGGAGGUAUCAGAAAACCCGAUUUUAAAAGCUCAUCUUACUCCGAAGAUUGUAAAGAACAUAAUCUCAUUAAAUCUCAAAAUUUAGCCGGUGCUGAAUUUCUUGGUAUUGUAAGUGGUGUCCUUUAUUAGAAAAAUGGAAGUAUUGAUAACUUUGAACAAAAUUUGUCCCAAAGUUUGUAUUCCAAAAGAGCGGACUUCAGAAACCUAGGCUCCAAGGAAAUGAAAAAAUCAGAAAAACAGCCGAUUUAAUUUAGCAGCGAAAACCAUGAAAAAUACAAAGAUCUCAAGAAAAAAUGUGUUCGUUUUUUGCUUUCUUUUAUUUUACAUUUACAAAUUAAACAAAUUAACAUAGACAUCUGUAGACUGCUUUAGUCUUUACAAAUUUGUUUUUAUCAUCAAUAAUCAAAAUAUUUAUGGGCUGCCCUAAGAUUUCAAAACACUGAAAGAUUUUAGUGAUUUUACUAGCUUUAAUUGAGACUGUGAAAAGUAAUUGACUGGUUUAAUUUACAAAAGCAAUCAAAUAAAUCUUUAAGAAUAUGAGUAAAAUGGAGAAAAAUUGAGAAAACCUAGAACUUCGUGAAUUACAUCAGUAAUAUCUGGUACUUCUCAGUAAUACUAGUCAGAAACUGGAAGAACUGCUUUAUGAAAGGGUUUUAAUGCUAAGUUUUGUCUUUUCUCCGGUCAUGUAAAACCUGAAAAAUGUUAUGAACUUCACAAAUUCAAUUUGGACUAAGAACAGCUUAACAGUCACAUUAUGUACGUAGAUUUUGGAAAAGUCGUACCAAUCCUUUGACGCCACAUCCCAGCAUAUUACUUCCGAUCCUCCAGAAUUUAACUAUAUUCAUUUUUUUUGCCCAUAAUUAAUUCUUUUCC